AGAGUUUGAUCAUGGCUCAGGACAAACGCUGGCGGCGUGCUUAACACAUGCAAGUCGAACGGUGAUGACGGGGCUUGCCUUGUCGGAUCAGUGGCGAACGGGUGAGUAACACGUGAGUAACCUGCCCCAGACUCUGGGAUAACUCCGGGAAACCGGAGCUAAUACCGGAUAGGACCCUUGGACGCAUGUUCUGGGGGUGGAAAGAUUUUUUCGGUUUGGGAUGGGCUCGCGGCCUAUCAGCUUGUUGGUGAGGUAACGGCUCACCAAGGCUUCGACGGGUAGCUGGUCUGAGAGGACGACCAGCCACACUGGGACUGAGACACGGCCCAGACUCCUACGGGAGGCAGCAGCAGGGAAUCUUGCGCAAUGGGCGAAAGCCUGACGCAGCGACGCCGCGUGGGGGAUGAAGGCCUUCGGGUUGUAAACCCCUUUCAGGAGGGACGAUAAUGACGGUACCUCCAGAAGAAGCCCCGGCCAACUACGUGCCAGCAGCCGCGGUA
rnacentral:rRNA from 1 species